rnacentral:tRNA from 1 species
AGGGGAGUAGCUCAAUUGGUAGAGCAUCGGUCUCCAAAACCGAGUGUCGCAGGUUCGAGCCCUGUCUCCCCUGCCA